AUAAUUCAGUUGGAAGACAAUAAUAUUUAAGGAUACAUUUACAAUUAUGUCUAGCCGAGUCAAAUAGAUUAGAUAGCCUUUAAUCAUGUAUACAUACCAAAAUUCAAUAGUAUGUAUCAACACUUGUUCAAAUACAAUAAUUUAUCCAAGUGAGGACACUUGCAUAACCAAACUUAGCUCAUAAAGAACAUAAUAAAUCUCGAUCAUAUAUGGAUCAAAUGAAU
rnacentral:lncRNA from 1 species